rnacentral:rRNA from 1 species
AACCAGCUCUUCAAGUGGUCGGGAUAAUUAUUGGGCUUAAAGUGUCCGUAGCUGGUAGGGUAAGUUCCUGGUAAAAUUGGGCAGCUUAACUGUCCUUAUGCUAGGAAUACUACUCUACUAGAGGGCGGGAGAAGUCUGAGGUACUACAGGGGUAGGGGUGAAAUCUUAUAAUCCUUGUAGGACCACCAGUGGCGAAAGCGUCAGACCGGAACGCGCCUGACAGUGAGGGACGAAAGCCAGGGGAGCGAACCGGAUAAGAUACCCGGGUAGUCCUGGCCGUAAACGAUGCGCACUAGGUGAUGGUGCGGCUAUGAGCCGCAUCAGUGUCGUAGGGAAACCGUUAAGUGUGCCGCCUGGGAAGUACGGUCGCAAGGCUUAAACUUAAAGGAAUUGGCGGGGAGCACCACAAGGGGUGAAGGCCUGCGGUUC